UAGCCCUCUUAGUGCAUCUGCCCAAAUGAUGAGUAUUAAAUGGCCUACAAGGGUAGCAAAAUAAUUUGCCUCUUAAUUAGAGACACGGAUGAAGACAGCAUUARCUAGCCUAAUUUUUACCUGUUUGGUGAACUUAAGAAAUCAGUGCAAACUCUGAUAAAAMCCCCCUAGACGAUAAGACCCUAAAACCUUUACUAAGUUUUGCUGGGAUAGCARAUUAAAAAUAAUAAAAAUUUUACAGCUAGUAUAAACCACCCUCGUGCUAACCAAAGGUACUUUAGGGAUAACAGCGUCUCUCCCCUUUCAAGCUCUAAUUUAUAGGGGCAUCACGACCUCGAUGUUGAAUUAAGCCCUAGCUAGCCGCAGAAGGCUAUGCUAGCUAAGUCUGUUCGACUUUAACUGCUUACAUGAUUUGAGUUAAGAUCGACGUAAGCCAGGUUGGGUUUCUAU
rnacentral:rRNA from 1 species